rnacentral:snRNA from 1 species
UGUUGGUCGAUUAAGACAG